rnacentral:rRNA from 1 species
AAACUGGAGAUGGCGACCGGCGCACGGGUGAGUAACACGUAUCCAACCUGCCGAUAACUCGGGGAUAGCCUUUCGAAAGAAAGAUUAAUACCCGAUGGUAUAAUCAGACCGCAUGGUCUUGUUAUUAAAGAAUUUCGGUUAUCGAUGGGGAUGCGUUCCAUUAGGCAGUUGGUGAGGUAACGGCUCACCAAACCUUCGAUGGAUAGGGGUUCUGAGAGGAAGGUCCCCCACAUUGGAACUGAGACACGGUCCAAACUCCUACGGGAGGCAGCAGUGAGGAAUAUUGGUCAAUGGGCGCAGGCCUGAACCAGCCAAGUAGCGUGAAGGAUGACUGCCCUAUGGGUUGUAAACUUCUUUUAUAUGGGAAUAAAGUUUUCCACGUGUGGAAUUUUGUAUGUACCAUAUGAAUAAGGAUCGGCUAACUCCGUGCCAGCAGCCGCGGUAAUACGGAGGAUCCGAGCGUUAUCCGGAUUUAUUGGGUUUAAAGGGAGCGUAGGUGGACAGUUAAGUCAGUUGUGAAAGUUUGCGGCUCAACCGUAAAAUUGCAGUUGAUACUGGCUGUCUUGAGUACAGUAGAGGUGGGCGGAAUUCGUGGUGUAGCGGUGAAAUGCUUAGAUAUCACGAAGAACUCCGAUUGCGAAGGCAGCUCACUGGACUGCAACUGACAC